UUUAAGCUUUCUCUUUCUUUUUAAUAUAGGAGGCUUGUUUUAAUAACCGGUUAUUGUAUGUAACCGGUUAUUAAUUGGAUGUAACCCGAUUAAGGGUAAAAACGUAAAAUACUAUGAAUAUAAAAAUAAAAUGAUAGAAAGAAAGAGAUUAAAACAGAAAGGAAAAACGGAAAGAGGAGGGGGAAGAAGGAGGGCGACUAGGAGAAAGGGAGGACGGCUUGGGCAUCGUGGCUUGGAUCUGUAAGGGGGCACCGGGGUCGUGGUGUGGUAAGUGUGAGGCUCGACAGGUAGCGGAAGAGGUAUGUAGAGUUUUAGAUUUAGAAAUGAGAUAAGGGAUAUCUUGAUGGGAAGAAAGGGUAGAUGUGAAUGAAAGAAGCAUCGGAGUAGAUCCGAUCUUGAUGAAUGUGUUCAUGGAUGAUAAGGGAAUGAAAUGGUAGGAUACCCAAACACCUUGGAUAAUCCGUUCCAUGGAUUUAACUAUUGCUAACUGUGGAUGAUUGAGUUUAGUUGGGUUUAAUAUUUUAUUGUCAUCUUUAGUAUGUUAUUGUUUCAUUUUAUUGCCGUUUAUUAUUUUAUUAUAUCGUGAUGGGUUUAAUAUUUUAUUGUCAUCUUUAGUAUGUUAUUGUUUCAUUCUACUGUCGUUUAUUAUUUUAUUAUAUCGUGAUGAAUAUGAUCAUGGGUGAUAACGUAUUUAAAUGGUAGGAUCAUGGAUUUGAUUAUUGUUGCUCACUGUUGAAAAUUGGAUUUAAAUGUGAUAAUGCUAUCUUCACCUUGUUGCUGCCUGUAUUUUGUCUAUAUGUGUUGCUGCCUAUAUUAUGGUUGAGUAUCAUGAUUUUCUCUAUUUUGUUACUGUGGAUUUCUAUUGAUGAUUGGGUUUAAUGGGGUUUAAUGUGAUAUUGUUAUCUUCAUCUUGUUGCUGCCUAUAUGUAUUGCUACCUAUAUUUUGGAAUGUUGGGCCUAUAAUGGGGUUUAAUGGGUUUAUAUAUUAUAUUGCUGUCCAUUUAUGUUGCUAUCAAUUUUAUUGCAGUUUAUUAAUUAUCUCUAAUGUUAGAUGAUCAACAUGUUAUCGGGUACUCAUUGUAGCAAGCCAAAUACUUAUCAUGUGGGAGGGUUGGAUACUAUAGGAUUGCAUGCUAGAUUGGCAUGUAAAUUGUCUCGGUUAAAUAUCACAUUGCUGUCCUGUUUUGUGGUCGUCGAUGAUAUAGCAGAUUAUUGAUUUAUCCCUAUCUUUAGAUGGUUUACAUACUAUUGAGGGCAUGUUAGAUUUGCAUAUAAGUUAUUUAUCAUUGUGGGUUGUUUCGAUUAAUUUAUUUCGGUUUAGAUAAUGAACAUGUUUUAGAUGUGUAUGUUGGGUUAGAAGUUAAGAUAUUUAUCAUAUGGUUUUGUUUUAAGUACAUGUUGCAUGUUGAGUUAAAAUGAUGAUAGGAUUAAGGGGAGGAAAUUUACAUGAAUGGACAAGGAAAUAAGAAUAGAAAUAUAUGUAUGAAUGGUUUAAUGAAUAAAUGAAAGGAUGCAUGAAUGAGAUAUGACGCCUAGCCAAUGGUGACUGACGAAUGACGACCCGUAUGGGUUUAUGAAUGAUGCAUGAUUGAUACUAUUCAACUGAAUGUUUAUUUACGCAUGUAUAAUGUUAAUUGAUAACGUUAGAUAAUUGCUGGUGUUUAUGCUUUACAUACUAAGUGAUGUAAUCACUCACGGAUACGUGAUAUGUUGCCGGGAAUGGAGGCAACUUUGCCUAACUGGAGUGGUAGGAGACAACGGACUCGUCGAGGUGACGAGGCAUGUCGGCGUAGAGUGUGAAACGAUGUAGUCAUUGUCCUUGGCUUUGGUUGUAAUAAGUUCUAGUUUAAGUUUUUGAGUGGUUGUAGUGUACUCUAUUAUAUUGAACUUCCAUUUGGAAUUAAAAUCAUUGUUUAAUCAUUUCAUGAUAAUUAAAAACCAGUUUGGCUAAUAGAACUUUGGCUAUCCCUAGGGCUGAGCCUUAAUAUGUAAUUUUCCAUACCAGGCCCACCGCAGACCAGGACUAACAAACCCAUUUAGUCUGACAAGAUAGGCGGGCCCGUUAUGUCCCGACGGAUCGAGUUGGUUGGGUCGGAUUGAACCCACUACACAGGAAAAUGGUCCAAUCCAGUAGAAAAGUGUAUAGAUAUCCCUAGGGGCUGAAUGCAGAGAAGGAGGAAACAUUUGAAUGACACUCGUAACAAAGAUUCGUCUGGUAUAUACUUAAUACUAAACGAUAAGGAUGAUGCCGGAAGAUGCCAUUCGACGAUGGCCGGAGCUAUAUUCGGAUGAGUGAUUUGGAAAAAUAAAACGCUCAAAUGUGAGAGAGAGAAAGAAGUUGGAAUUGAAUCAAUUGAUAAAAGUCUAUUUAUAGUAAUUGUAUUAACAUAGAUUAAUUUAACUAAUUAACCAAUUACUUAACUAAUUUAACCAAG
rnacentral:lncRNA from 1 species